UGGGGAAUAUUGCACAAUGGGCGCAAGCCUGAUGCAGCAACGCCGCGUGAACGAUGAAGGUCUUCGGAUCGUAAAGUUCUGUUGCAGGGGAAGAUAAUGACGGUACCCUGUGAGGAAGCCCCGGCUAACUACGUGCCAGCAGCCGCGGUAAUACGUAGGGGGCUAGCGUUGUCCGGAAUUAUUGGGCGUAAAGCGCGCGCAGGUGGUUUAGAAAGUCUGAUGUGAAAGCCCACGGCUCAACCGUGGAGGGUCAUUGGAAACUAAUAAACUUGAGUGCAGGAGAGAAAAGUGGAAUUCCCAGUGUAGCGGUGAAAUGCGUAGAUAUUGGGAGGAACACCAGUAGCGAAGGCGGCUUUCUGGACUGCAACUGACACUGAGGCACGAAAGCGUGGGUAGCAAACAGG
rnacentral:rRNA from 1 species